UGGGGGUGUCGCAUAGUGGCAAUUGCAAGGGACUGUAAAUCCCUCGACUUCGGUCUCCGUUGGUUCGAGUCCAACCACCCCCAUCC
rnacentral:tRNA from 1 species